CGUUGAGCCAAAGCUACAUGAUCUUGCUUUACAGGGUAUCUUGCUUCUAAAUCUCACCUUAAUCAGAAGAUUACACAAACCUUUGAUGCAUUACACAAGGGAUUGAGUCAUUAACCAAGUCUUGAUGCCAUAUUUGGAAGGUUUUGCAAAAAGCUUCAUAUCCAUUUUGAUAAAGGCCAACUUUUCCAACCACUCUUGCAUUGAACUUCUAACUUGUUUCUUCUGAUCACACUUAACCUCUAAACCAGAAGCAACAUCCUAAAAGUACCUCUAA
rnacentral:lncRNA from 1 species